rnacentral:misc_RNA from 1 species
GAUGAAGAACGUAGCGAAAUGCGAUACUUGGUGUGAAUUGCAGAAUCCCGUGAACCAUCGAGUCUUUGAACGCAAGUUGCGCCCGAAGCCGUCAGGCCGAGGGCACGCCUGCCUGGGCGUCACACGCCGUUGCCCCCCCGCGCCCCGCACCCAACGCUUUGGGAGCGACCGCGGGGCGGGCUGAUGAUGGCCUCCCGUGCGCUCCGCCGCGCGGUUGGCCCAAAUACCGAGUCCCCGGCGACGUACGCCACGACGAUCGGUGGUUGAGAGACCUCUGUCGCAAGUCGUGCGCGCCCGUCGCGUCACGCGGGCUCGCAUAGCGCCUCGCGCCGCACCCGGUGCGGAGCUUUCAACGCGACCCCAGGUCAGGCGGGGUUACCCGCUGAAUUUAAGCAUAUCAAUAAGCGGAGGA